GGUUAAGCGACUAAGCGUACACGGUGGAUGCCCUGGCAGUCAGAGGCGAUGAAGGACGUGCUAAUCUGCGAAAAGCGUCGGUAAGGUGAUAUGAACCGUUAUAACCGGCGAUGUCCGAAUGGGGAAACCCAGUGCAAUUCGUUGCACUAUCGUUAACUGAAUACAUAGGUUAACGAGGCGAACCGGGGGAACUGAAACAUCUAAGUACCCCGAGGAAAAGAAAUCAACCGAGAUUCCCCCAGUAGCGGCGAGCGAACGGGGAGCAGCCCAGAGUCUGAAUCAGCUUGUGUGUUAGUGGAACGGUCUGGAAAGUCCGACGGUACAGGGUGAUAGUCCCGUACACCAAAAUGCACAGGUUGUGAACUCGAAGAGUAGGGCGGGACACGUGGUAUCCUGUCUGAAUAUGGGGGGACCAUCCUCCAAGGCUAAAUACUCCUGACUGACCGAUAGUGAACCAGUACCGUGAGGGAAAGGCGAAAAGAACCCCGGCGAGGGGAGUGAAAAAGAACCUGAAACCGUGUACGUACAAGCAGUGGGAGCACCUUCGGGUGUGACUGCGUACCUUUUGUAUAAUGGGUCAGCGACUUAUAUUCUGUAGCAAGGUUAACCGUAUAGGGGAGCCGCAGGGAAACCGAGUCUUAACUGGGCGUUAAGUUGCAGGGUAUAGACCCGAAACCCGGUGAUCUAGCCAUGGGCAGGUUGAAGGUUGGGUAACACUAACUGGAGGACCGAACCGACUAAUGUUGAAAAAUUAGCGGAUGACUUGUGGCUGGGGGUGAAAGGCCAAUCAAACCGGGAGAUAGCUGGUUCUCCCCGAAAGCUAUUUAGGUAGCGCCUCGUGAACUCAUCUUCGGGGGUAGAGCACUGUUUCGGCUAGGGGGUCAUCCCGACUUACCAACCCGAUGCAAACUACGAAUACCGAAGAAUGUUAUCACGGGAGACACACGGCGGGUGCUAACGUCCGUCGUGAAGAGGGAAACAACCCAGACCGCCAGCUAAGGUCCCAAAGUCAUGGUUAAGUGGGAAACGAUGUGGGAAGGCACAGACAGCCAGGAUGUUGGCUUAGAAGCAGCCAUCAUUUAAAGAAAGCGUAAUAGCUCACUGGUCGAGUCGGCCUGCGCGGAAGAUGUAACGGGGCUAAACCAUGCACCGAAGCUGCGGCAGCGACACUAUGUGUUGUUGGGUAGGGGAGCGUUCUGUAAGCCUGCGAAGGUGUGCUGUGAGGCAUGCUGGAGGUAUCAGAAGUGCGAAUGCUGACAUAAGUAACGAUAAAGCGGGUGAAAAGCCCGCUCGCCGGAAGACCAAGGGUUCCUGUCCAACGUUAAUCGGGGCAGGGUGAGUCGACCCCUAAGGCGAGGCCGAAAGGCGUAGUCGAUGGGAAACAGGUUAAUAUUCCUGUACUUGGUGUUACUGCGAAGGGGGGACGGAGAAGGCUAUGUUAGCCGGGCGACGGUUGUCCCGGUUUAAGCAUGUAGGCUGGUUGUCCAGGCAAAUCCGGAUAAUCAAGGCUGAGGUGUGAUGACGAGGCACUACGGUGCUGAAGUAACAAAUGCCCUGCUUCCAGGAAAAGCCUCUAAGCAUCAGGUAACAUUAAAUCGUACCCCAAACCGACACAGGUGGUCAGGUAGAGAAUACCAAGGCGCUUGAGAGAACUCGGGUGAAGGAACUAGGCAAAAUGGUGCCGUAACUUCGGGAGAAGGCACGCUGGUGUGUAGGUGAAGUCCCUGCGGAUGGAGCUGAGACCAGUCGAAGAUACCAGCUGGCUGCAACUGUUUAUUAAAAACACAGCACUGUGCAAACACGAAAGUGGACGUAUACGGUGUGACGCCUGCCCGGUGCCGGAAGGUUAAUUGAUGGGGUUAUCCGUAAGGAGAAGCUCUUGAUCGAAGCCCCGGUAAACGGCGGCCGUAACUAUAACGGUCCUAAGGUAGCGAAAUUCCUUGUCGGGUAAGUUCCGACCUGCACGAAUGGCGUAAUGAUGGCCAGGCUGUCUCCACCCGAGACUCAGUGAAAUUGAACUCGCUGUGAAGAUGCAGUGUACCCGCGGCAAGACGGAAAGACCCCGUGAACCUUUACUAUAGCUUGACACUGAACAUUGAGCCUUGAUGUGUAGGAUAGGUGGGAGGCUUUGAAGCGUGGACGCCAGUCUGCGUGGAGCCAACCUUGAAAUACCACCCUUUAAUGUUUGAUGUUCUAACGUUGGCCCCUUACCGGGGUUGCGGACAGUGUCUGGUGGGUAGUUUGACUGGGGCGGUCUCCUCCCAAAGCGUAACGGAGGAGCACGAAGGUUAGCUAAUCCUGGUCGGACAUCAGGAGGUUAGUGCAAUGGCAUAAGCUAGCUUGACUGCGAGCGUGACGGCGCGAGCAGGUGCGAAAGCAGGUCAUAGUGAUCCGGUGGUUCUGAAUGGAAGGGCCAUCGCUCAACGGAUAAAAGGUACUCCGGGGAUAACAGGCUGAUACCGCCCAAGAGUUCAUAUCGACGGCGGUGUUUGGCACCUCGAUGUCGGCUCAUCACAUCCUGGGGCUGAAGUAGGUCCCAAGGGUAUGGCUGUUCGCCAUUUAAAGUGGUACGCGAGCUGGGUUUAGAACGUCGUGAGACAGUUCGGUCCCUAUCUGCCGUGGGCGCUGGAGAAUUGAGGGGGGCUGCUCCUAGUACGAGAGGACCGGAGUGGACGCAUCACUGGUGUUCGGGUUGUCAUGCCAAUGGCACUGCCCGGUAGCUAAAUGCGGAAGAGAUAAGUGCUGAAAGCAUCUAAGCACGAAACUUGCCCCGAGAUGAGUUCUCCCUGAGACUUUAAGUCUCCUGAAGGAACGUUAAAGACGAUGACGUUGAUAGGCCGGGUGUGUAAGCGCAGCGAUGCGUUGAGCUAACCGGUACUAAUGAACCGUGAGGCUUAACCUU
rnacentral:rRNA from 1 species